rnacentral:rRNA from 1 species
UCCUGGCUCAGAUUGAACGCUGGCGGCAUGCCUUACACAUGCAAGUCGAACGGUAACAGGUCUUCGGACGCUGACGAGUGGCGAACGGGUGAGUAAUACAUCGGGACGUGCCCGAUCGUGGGGGAUAACGAGGCGAAAGCUUUGCUAAUACCGCAUACGAUCUACGGAUGAAAGCGGGGGAUCUUCGGACCUCGCGCGGACGGAGCGGCCGAUGGCAGAUUAGGUAGUUGGUGGGGUAAAGGCUCACCAAGCCAACGAUCUGUAGCUGGUCUGAGAGGAUGAUCAGCCACACUGGGACUGAGACACGGCCCAGACUCCUACGGGAGGCAGCAGUGGGGAAUUUUGGACAAUGGGGGCAACCCUGAUCCAGCCAUGCCGCGUGCAGGAUGAAGGCC